rnacentral:rRNA from 1 species
GCUUGUCUCAAAGAUUAAGCCAUGCAUGUCUCAGCAUAAGCUUCAACACGGUGAAACUGCAAAUGGCUCAUUAAAGCAGUUACAAUUUAUUUGAUGGUCACUGUUACAUGGAUAACUGUGGUAAUUCUAGAGCUAAUACAUGCUGGUGUGCCUGACUUUUCGGAAGGGCGGUAUUUAUUAGAUAACGAACCAAUAUUCCUCUGGUCUAUUGUGGUGAAUCAUAAUAACUGAUCGAAUCGCAAAGCCUUUGGCUGCGAUAUGUCAUUCAAGUUUCUGCCCCAUCAGCUUUCGAUGGUAGUGUAUUGGACUACCAUGGCUUUUACGGGUAACGGAGAAUUAGGGUUCGAUUCCGGAGAGGGAGCCUGAGAAACGGCUACCACAUCUAAGGAAGGCAGCAGG